rnacentral:rRNA from 1 species
AUACGGAGGGUGCAAGCGUUGUUCGGAUUUAUUGGGCGUAAAGCGCGUGUAGGCGGUUUGUUAAGUCUGAUGUGAAAGCCCUGGGCUCAACCUGGGAAGUGCAUUGGAAACUGGCAGACUUGAAUACGGGAGAGGGAAGCGGAAUUCCUGGUGUAGGGGUGAAAUCCGUAGAUAUCAGGAGGAACAUCAGUGGCGAAGGCGGCUUCCUGGUCCGUGCCUGACGCUGAGACGCGAAAGCGUGGGGAGC